rnacentral:misc_RNA from 1 species
CACCACUCAAGCCUGGCUUGGUGUUGGGCGACGUCCCCUUUGGGGACGCGUCUCGAAACGCUCGGCGGCGUGGCACCGGCUUUAAGCGUAGCAGAAUCUUUCGCUUUGAAAGUCGGGGCCCCGUCUGCCGGAAGACCUACUCGCAA